UACAUAGACCUCAAGCGUUAUCCGGAUUUACUGGGCGUAAAGCGUGCGUAGGUGUCUUUUUAAGUCUCUGGUGAAAUCUCCGGGCUCAACUCGGAAACUGUCAGAGAAACUGGAAGGAUUGAGUGUCGCAGAGGCAAACGGAAUGCUAGGUGUAGCGGUAAAAUGCGUAGAUAUCUAGCAGAACACCGAUGGCGAAGGCAGUUUGCUGGGCGAUCACUGACACUGAGGCACGAAAGCGUGGGGAGCGAACGGG
rnacentral:rRNA from 1 species